rnacentral:misc_RNA from 1 species
CUCUUUCUCCCUUAGAUCUGAUGCUCCAUCACUAGACCACUUCCCCCCUUUUCCUUUUCUCCAUAAAAAGAGAAGAGAGAGAAAAACGAAACCUGUAACAGAUACAUUUCCAUUUCUGUUUAACAAUGGGAGAGGAAGAGAAGAAGGUAGAAGAAGUGAAGAAAGAGGAGGCACCGAAAGAUGAAAAGCCAAGUGACGGCGGCGGCGGUGAAGAGAAGAAAGAGGAAAAAAAGGCGGAGGAAGAAUCGAAAGAGGCGAAACCAGAACCUCCACCACCACCACCACCUGAAAUUGUUUUGAGAGUUUUCAUGCAUUGUGAAGGUUGUGCUCGUAAAGUCCGCAAAUCGCUCAAAGGAUUUCAAGGAGUUGAAGAUGUGUUGACGGAUUGCAAAACUCAUAAGGUUGUGGUGAAAGGGGAAAAAGCAGAUCCGUUGAAGGUAUUGGAGAGAAUACAGAAAAAGAGUCAUCGUCAAGUUGAGCUUCUCUCACCAAUCCCAAAACCACCGGAGCCGGCGGCUGAAGAACCUAAGAAACCGGAGGAAAAAGAAGCCGUUAAACCCGAUGAGAAAAAAGAGGAGCCUCAGGUCAUUACAGUAGUUCUGAAAGUUCACAUGCAUUGUGAGGCUUGUGCACAAGAAAUCAAAAGACGUAUACAGAAAAUGAAAGGUGUGGAGAAUGCAGAACCGGACUUGAAAAACUCACAGGUGACAGUGAAAGGUGUGUUUGAGGCAACAAAACUGGUGGAAUAUGUUAGCAAAAGGACUGGAAAACGGGCUGUUAUUGUGAAAGUAGAACCUGAAAAGAAAGCGGAGGAGGAGGCGAAGCCCAAGGAAGAUCAAAAGGAAGAGAAGAAAACCGAUGAAAAAGAAGCGAAGAAAGUUGAAGGUGACAACAAAGAGGAGAAGAAGGAAGAAGCAGCAGCAGCUGCACCAGCUAAGGAAGAAGCCGUAGUAGCAGCUGCACCAGCUAAGGAAGAAGCCGUAGU